AUUGAACGCUGGCGACAUGCCUUACACAUGCAAGUCGAACGGUAGAGGGGGCAACCCCUCGAGAGUGGCGAACGGGUGAGUAAUGCAUCGGAACGUGCCCAGUAGUGGGGGAUAGCCCGGCGAAAGCCGGAUUAAUACCGCAUGAGACCUACGGGUGAAAGGGGGGGAUCGCAAGACCUCUCGCUAUUGGAGCGGCCGAUGUCAGAUUAGGUAGUUGGCGGGGUAAAGGCCUACCAAGCCGACGAUCUGUAGCUGGUCUGAGAGGACGACCAGCCACACUGGGACUGAGACACGGCCCAGACUCCUACGGGAGGCAGCAGUGGGGAAUUUUGGACAAUGGGCGAAAGCCUGAUCCAGCCAUGCCGCGUGCGGGAAGAAGGCCUUCGGGUUGUAAACCGCUUUUGUCAGGGAAGAAAUCCUUUGAGCUAAUACCUCGGGGGGAUGACGGUACCUGAAGAAUAAGCACCGGCUAACUACGUGCCAGCAGCCGCAGUAA
rnacentral:rRNA from 1 species